rnacentral:rRNA from 1 species
GACGAACGCUGGCGGCGUGCUUAACACAUGCAAGUCGAACGGAAAGGCCCUGCUUUUGUGGGGUGCUCGAGUGGCGAACGGGUGAGUAACACGUGAGUAACCUGCCCUUGACUUUGGGAUAACUUCAGGAAACUGGGGCUAAUACCGGAUAGGAGCUCCUGCUGCAUGGUGGGGGUUGGAAAGUUUCGGCGGUUGGGGAUGGACUCGCGGCUUAUCAGCUUGUUGGUGGGGUAGUGGCUUACCAAGGCUUUGCCGGGUAGCCGGCCCGAGAGGGUGACCGGCCACAUUGGGACUGAGAUACGGCCCAGACUCCUACGGGAGGCAGCAGUGGGGAGUAUUGCACAAUGGGCGGAAGCCUGAUGCAGCAACGCCGCGUGCGGGAUGACGGCCUUCGGGUUGUAAACCGCUUUCGCCUGUGACGAAGCGUGAGUGACGGUAAUGGGUAAAGAAGCACCGGCUAACUACGUG